CAGGAGCAAGAAGGAAGCUGUUCAUGCAUUGACUUCUAUCAGCACUUAAUCAACUGUGAUAUUUAGCUCUUCCUUAAGAAUGUAUUUGAAUAUCUCAAAUCUGACUGUUUGACUUUCUACCAGUUGAGUUUCACAUGAGGUGUUAACCUAGUCCUGUAAAGGCAUAUGCACAGGCAGUUUUGUGUAUUAUUGAGGUGUGGCAGGUGCUGAACAUUUCUUUCUAUAUUGAAAGAACACUUUGAGGAGAGCUGCCUAGUCUUUGUUUCCAACUACUUUUGGAUUCCAGCACAAGACAAUGACUUAACUGUUUAAUACUGCAGAACUGGACAAGACAACAGCUGGAACUGGGAGUGGAGGGUAAAAAAGUGACCCACUGGCCCCAUCCAUUUCACCAUGACACCAAGACCAACAUUAAAACCAACUAAAACACUUCACACCAACACCACAACAGCUGCUCCAGGCUUCCUGCCCUCUUUCCUGGACAGGAUUCCUUUGCCAAGAUGGGCCAUCUAUGCUAUAUUUGCUGCCGUCAUCCUGCUUAUUCUUAUCUUUGUGAUAUGCUGCUGUGUAAAAUGCUGCUGCAAAGGGAAAAAGAAGAGAAAGAAGAAGCUGGACCAGAAGAUCAGUAUGAAAGGGAUCUCAGGAACUACAACCGCA
rnacentral:lncRNA from 1 species